rnacentral:rRNA from 1 species
GAUGAACGCUGGCGGCGUGCCUAAUACACGCAAGUCGAGCGAACGGACGAGAAGCUUGCUUCUCUGAUGUUAGCGGCGGACGGGUGAGUAACACGUGGAUAACCUACCUAUAAGACUGGGAUAACUUCGGGAAACCGUAGCUAAUACCGGAUAAUAUUUUGAACCGCAUGGUUCAAAAGUGAAAGACGGUCUUGCUGUCACUUAUAGAUGGAUCCGCGCUGCAUUAGCUAGUUGGUAAGGUAACGGCUUACCAAGGCAACGAUGCAUAGCCGACCUGAGAGGGUGAUCGGCCACACUGGAACUGAGACACGGUCCAGACUCCUACGGGAGGCAGCAGUAGGGAAUCUUCCGCAAUGGGCGAAAGCCUGACGGAGCAACGCCGCGUGAGUGAUGAAGGUCUUCGGAUCGUAAAACUCUGUUAUUAGGGAAGAACAUAUGUGUAAGUAACUGUGCACAUCUUGACGGUACCUAAUCAGAAAGCCACGGCUAACUACGUGCCAGCAGCCGCGGUAAUACGUAGGUGGCAAGCGUUAUCCGGAAUUAUUGGGCGUAAAGCGCGCGUAGGCGGUUUUUUAAGUCUGAUGUGAAAGCCCACGGCUCAACCGUGGAGGGUCAUUGGAAACUGGAAAACUUGAGUGCAGAAGAGGAAAGUGGAAUUCCAUGUGUAGCGGUGAAAUGCGCAGAGAUAUGGAGGAACACCAGUGGCGAAGGCGACUUUCUGGUCUGUAACUGACGCUGAUGUGCGAAAGCGUGGGGAUCAAACAGGAUUAGAUACCCUGGUAGUCCACGCCGUAAACGAUGAGUGCUAAGUGUUAGGGGGUUUCCGCCCCUUAGUGCUGCAGCUAACGCAUUAAGCACUCCGCCUGGGGAGUACGACCGCAAGGUUGAAACUCAAAGGAAUUGACGGGGACCCGCACAAGCGGUGGAGCAUGUGGUUUAAUUCGAAGCAACGCGAAGAACCUUACCAAAUCUUGACAUCCUUUGACAACUCUAGAGAUAGAGCCUUCCCCUUCGGGGGACAAAGUGACAGGUGGUGCAUGGUUGUCGUCAGCUCGUGUCGUGAGAUGUUGGGUUAAGUCCCGCAACGAGCGCAACCCUUAAGCUUAGUUGCCAUCAUUAAGUUGGGCACUCUAAGUUGACUGCCGGUGACAAACCGGAGGAAGGUGGGGAUGACGUCAAAUCAUCAUGCCCCUUAUGAUUUGGGCUACACACGUGCUACAAUGGACAAUACAAAGGGCAGCGAAACCGCGAGGUCAAGCAAAUCCCAUAAAGUUGUUCUCAGUUCGGAUUGUAGUCUGCAACUCGACUACAUGAAGCUGGAAUCGCUAGUAAUCGUAGAUCAGCAUGCUACGGUGAAUACGUUCCCGGGUCU